rnacentral:rRNA from 1 species
CCCUUAGAUGUUCUGGGCCGCACGCGCGCUACACUGACGAAGUCAGCGAGCAUCUCCUACGCCGAAAGGUGCGGGGAAUCUUGUGAAACUUUGUCGUGCUGGGGGUUGAUUUUUGAAAUUCUUGAUCAUAAACGAGGAAUUCCUAGUAAGCGCAAGUCAGCAGCUUGCGCUGAAUACGUCCCUGCCCUUUGUACACACCGCCCGUCGCUCCUACCGAUUGAGUGGUCCGGUGAGGCUUUGGGAUCUGGGCGGAAAGAGCGUUUCGCUGUUUCUGCCCGGAAAACUCAGUCGAACCUUAUCAUUUAGAGGAAGGAGAAGUCGUAACA